GACGUUGUACUAGGUGUUAUAUAUAGUAUAGUGGGUUCUCACCAGUACAGACAGGAAGGACAUGACGUUGUACUAGGUGUUAUAUAUAGUAUAGUGGGUUCUCACCAGUACAGACAGGAAGGACAUGACGUUGUACUAGGUGUUAUAUAUAGUAUAGUGGGUUCUCACCAGUACAGACAGGAAGGACAUGACGUUGUACUAGGUGUUAUAUAUAGUAUAGUGGGUUCUCACCAGUACAGACAGGAAGGACAUGACGUUGUACUAGGUGUUAUAUAUAGUAUAGUGGGUUCUCACCAGUACAGACAGGAAGGACAUGACGUUGUACUAGGUGUUAUAUAUAGUAUAGUGGGUUCUCACCAGUACAGACAGGAAGGACAUGACGUUGUACUAGGUGUUAUAU